GCCUACGGGGGGCCGCAGUGGGGCCUCUUGGGCCCUGGGCGCCCGCCUGCCCCAGCAACGCCGCGUGAAGGAAGAAGGCUUUCGGGUUGUAAACUUCUUUUAUGAGGGACGAAAGAAAUGACGGUACCUCAUGAAUAAGCCACGGCUAACUACGUGCCAGCAGCCGCGGUAAUACGUAGGUGGCAAGCGUUAUCCGGAUUUACUGGGUGUAAAGGGCGUGUAGGCGGGACUGCAAGUCAGAUGUGAAAAUUAUGGGCUCAAACCAUAACCUGCAUUUGAAACUGUAGUUCUUGAGUGAUGGAGAG
rnacentral:rRNA from 1 species